rnacentral:rRNA from 1 species
UACGGAGGGUGCAAGCGUUAAUCGGAAUUACUGGGCGUAAAGAGCUCGUAGGCGGCUUGUCACGUCGGGUGUGAAAGACCGGGGCUUAACUCCGGUUCUGCAUUCGAUACGGGCUAGCUAGAGUGCGGUAGGGGAGACUGGAAUUCCUGGUGUAGCGGCGAAAUGCGCAGAUAUCAGGAGGAACACCGGUGGCGAAGGCGGGUCUCUGGGCCGUAACUGACGCUGAGGAGCGAAAGCGUGGGGAGCGAACAGG